rnacentral:rRNA from 1 species
GACGAACGCUGGCGGCGUGCUUAACACAUGCAAGUCGAGCGGUAAGGCCCUUUCGGGGGUACACGAGCGGCGAACGGGUGAGUAACACGUGGGUGACCUGCCCUCAGCUCUGGGAUAAGCCUGGGAAACCGGGUCUAAUACUGGAUAUGACUCCAUGACGCAUGUUGUGGGGUGGAAAGCCUUGUGCGGCUGAGGAUGGGCCCGCGGCCUAUCAGCUUGUUGGUGGGGUGAGGCCUACCAAGGCGACGACGGGUAGCCGGCCUGAGAGGGCGACCGGCCACACUGGGACUGAGACACGGGCCCAGACUCCUACGGGAGGCAGCAGUGGGGAAUCUUGCGCAAU